GAGUGGGUCCUGUGCGGCGGAGCACCGUGAAUCAUGUCAGGCGGGGAACCGAGCAGCAUUAAGCGUUAUGCACUGCGCGCCACAGUCCGCCUGCUCGCU
rnacentral:SRP_RNA from 1 species